UACGUAGGGGGCUAGCGUUGUCCGGAAUCAUUGGGCGUAAAGCGCGUGUAGGCGGCCCGGUAAGUCCGCUGUGAAAGUCGGGGGCUCAACCCUCGGAUGCCGGUGGAUACUGUCGGGCUUGAGUGCGGAAGAGGCGAGUGGAAUUCCUGGUGUAGCGGUGAAAUGCGCAGAUAUCAGGAAGAACACCCGUGGCGAAGGCGGCUCUCUGGGACGGUACUGACGCUGAGACGCGAAAGCGUGGGGAGCGAACAGG
rnacentral:rRNA from 1 species